GUUUAGUUAAACUUAAUUCUUUACACUUGUACCAAAAGAAAUUUUUAAAAAAUCUUUUCAUCACAAAAUAAAUAAAUACUGUACUAUUUGAGUCAGGACAAAAAGGGAAAUAAAAGUAUUGUGACACCACUCUCGAUACAUAGAUGAACAAGAGUAUUGUUAAGACAAGACAUAAAGAAAUAAAAAGAAACACAUUGAAGAUACUUGAUUGAAAUGUCGGCACCCGAGUUACAGAUUUGUUGAUAGUCCGGACUAUUACAAGGCGAUUAUUCAAUUGCUGAUCCGACUUUUACGACCGACAGACGACUUCUAAGAAAUGCCGUCCUCUCACCUAUCAUUACCAUUUCACAACCUGGGAAUUGAAGGUACAAUUAGAAGGCUCAGCAGUGACACAAUGGCGCCAUCUGGAUCGUAACAAUUCCUAUUGACUCUUCUAUGUCCGCCUCUUCUACUUGUUCAAAUAAGUGUUCUGCCUCAACUGUGACCUAUUUUUUAUUUUUUAUUUUUUCUGAAUUGCCCACGACGAUCGACUCAACUUCACUUAUUUGUAUUACGAGAAAGAUUUCUAAUUACGCUUUAAAUUUACUUUUAACCUUAAACUCGUCAUAUAAAAUUUUAUUUAACGCUUAAAAAUAUACUUAAUUAAAUUGAGAUACAGAAUGUAAUUAAACUGAAUAGAAUAGAUAUUGUUAGUUAUUCUUUAUAUUGACUUUAGGCUAUACCUUUUUUUUUUAUGUUGAGUGUAUGCGUGUGGUUGGUUACAAGUAAAAUGUGAC